rnacentral:rRNA from 1 species
UACGGAGGGAGCUAGCGUUGUUCGGAAUUACUGGGCGUAAAGCGCACGUAGGCGGCUACUCAAGUCAGAGGUGAAAGCCCGGGGCUCAACCCCGGAACUGCCUUUGAAACUAGGUAGCUAGAAUCCUGGAGAGGUCAGUGGAAUUCCGAGUGUAGAGGUGAAAUUCGUAGAUAUUCGGAAGAACACCAGUGGCGAAGGCGACUGACUGGACAGGUAUUGACGCUGAGGUGCGAAAGCGUGGGGAGCAAACGGG